AGCGGCGGACGGGUGAGUAACACUUUGGAAUCUACCUAGUAGUGGGGGAUAGCACGGGGAAACUCGUAUUAAUACCGCAUACGACCUACGGGAGAAAGGGGGCGAUUUAUUGCUCUCGCUAUUAGAUGAGCCUAAGUCGGAUUAGCUAGAUGGUGGGGUAAAGGCCUACCAUGGCGACGAUCUGUAGCUGGUCUGAGAGGAUGAUCAGCCACACCGGAACUGAGACACGGUCCGGACUCCUACGGGAGGCAGCAGUGGGGAAUAUUGGACAUGGGGGCAACCCUGAUCCAGCCAUGCCGCGUGUGUGAAGAAGGCCUUUUGGUUGUAAAGCACUUUAAGCAGUGAAGAAGACUCAAUGGUUAAUACCCAUUGACGAUGACAUUAGCUGCAGAAUAAGCACCGGCUAACUCUGUGCCAGCAGCCGCGGUAAUACAGAGGGUGCAAGCGUUAAUCGGAAUUACUGGGCGUAAAGCGAGCGUAGGUGGCUUGAUAAGUCAGAUGUGAAAUCCCCGGGCUUAACCUGGGAACUGCAUCUGAUACUGUUAGGCUAGAAUAGGUGAGAGGAAGGUAGAAUUCCAGGUGUAGCGGUGAAAUGCGUAGAGAUCUGGAGGAAUACCGAUGGCGAAGGCAGCCUUCUGGCAUCAUAUUGACACUGAGGUUCGAAAGCGUGGGUAGCAAACAGGAUUAGAUACCCUGGUAGUCCACGCCGUAAACGAUGUCUACUAGUCGUUGGGUCCCUUGAGGACUUAGUGACGCAGCUAACGCAAUAAGUAGACCGCCUGGGGAGUACGGCCGCAAGGUUAAAACUCAAAUGAAUUGACGGGGGCCCGCACAAGCGGUGGAGCAUGUGGUUUAAUUCGAUGCAACGCGAAGAACCUUACCUGGUCUUGACAUAUCUAGAAUCCUGCAGAGAUGCGGGAGUGCCUUCGGGAAUUAGAAUACAGGUGCUGCAUGGCUGUCGUCAGCUCGUGUCGUGAGAUGCUGGGUUAAGUCCCGCAACGAGCGCAACCCUUGUCCUUAGUUACCAGCGGUUUGGCCGGGAACUCUAAGGAUACUGCCAGUGACAAACUGGAGGAAGGCGGGGACGACGUCAAGUCAUCAUGGCCCUUACGACCAGGGCUACACACGUGCUACAAUGGUAGGUACAGAGGGCAGCUACACAGCGAUGUGAUGCGAAUCUCAAAAAGCCUAUCGUAGUCCGGAUUGGAGUCUGCAACUCGACUCCAUGAAGUAGGAAUCGCUAGUAAUCGCGGAUCA
rnacentral:rRNA from 1 species